GUCUACAAGCUCUCCGAAUCCCAGGAUCCUGCUGUUCUCUACCUUGGAACACUCUCCUCUUUCUGCACUGAUGAAUCACCAGGAUAAUGAGAAAAAGGAAAAUGCAGUGUCCCAUGAUGAAACCGAGGACAGUGGUCACAAAGAAGAUUCCCGGAUUGGGAUUUGACUAUCUGAGGAGGCUGAGUCUAUCUUGGUGAUGAAAGCAUUGACCUGGGAGGAUUCAGUGAAUUGUCAAGGAGUUCACUCAGCAGUCCUGAACUACCACCACGGUGAGACCAACCCUCAGGGUGAAGAGGGUGCCAGAGUGAGGUGACCUGGUUAGUGGAGACAUUGGGGCUAAGGACUGAAGCUCUGUACUGAGAAUUACUCACUGGCAGCUCAAAAAUAAAACUGUAUCUUAAUAGAGUGCUCCAGAAAAUCUUUGUCAUGUGGAACUACAGAUUGUGGCCUCAUUUGGAAAUAGCAUCUUAAUAGAUGUAAAUGGUUAGGUCAUAAUGGAUAAGGUGGAACAUCAUCCACUGAAUCACAGACUUACGAAGGGAGGACAUUUAGACACAGACAGAGAGAGGAACAGUGUGAAGACAAUUUCUGCACAAGGAAGACACCGUGUAAAGAUGGACGCAGAAACAAGACGACGUUUCUACAAGCCAAAACUACCCUAGAAUUGCUGGGCUGCUCCGGAAGCUGGAAGAGAAGAAGAAGAAGAGGAGCCGGGAAAUGCGACAGUCCUGCAGGAAGAGGAGCAGCCCUGUAUUCAGAUUGCUGAGUUCAGAGACUCUAGUAUCUCAGUGAAGGAAGAAUCCAUAACCCUGUACUGAAACAAGCUAUACUAUGGUCCAGGCUAGAGGCUUAGAGACCGCCAUAGUGGUACCCAGAUAGGACCAUGACACAUUGUGUCCUCCUUUUACAUAAGUUCUCCAAUAAUAAACACUUUGGUCCUACUCAAGAGGUCUCUGUCACUGAAACUUUGUGAGCAGCUAGAGAAAUGAUUUCACUGCACUGAUAGUACAGCCAGCAGGACUCACCUUUAUCCUCACUUCUCUCGGGUGAAACCCUGGUGAGUGGCUUGUGUUCAGAGAGAAAUGUUGGAUCCAG
ensembl:lncRNA AC128967.3